GGGACGAACGCUGGCGGCGUGCUUAACACAUGCAAGUCGAGCGGUAAGGCCUUUCGGGGUACACGAGCGGCGAACGGGUGAGUAACACGUGGGUGAUCUGCCCUGCACUCUGGGAUAAGCCUGGGAAACUGGGUCUAAUACCGGAUAUGACCUGCUCUCGCAUGGGGGGUGGGUGGAAAGAUUUAUCGGUGCAGGAUGGGCCCGCGGCCUAUCAGCUUGUUGGUGGGGUAAUGGCCUACCAAGGCGACGACGGGUAGCCGACCUGAGAGGGUGACCGGCCACACUGGGACUGAGACACGGCCCAGACUCCUACGGGAGGCAGCAGUGGGGAAUAUGCACAAUGGGCGAAAGCCUGAUGCAGCGACGCCGCGUGAGGAUGAAGGCCUUCGGGUUGUAAACCUUCUUUCAGCAGGACGAAGCGCAAGUCGACGGUACUGACAGAAGAGCACCGGACUAACACGUGCCAGCCGACGCCGC
rnacentral:rRNA from 1 species